AGAUCCCUACGUGAAGAUUCAUCUUCUGCAAAACGGCAAGCGGCUGAAGAAGAAGAAGACAACUGUGAAGAAGAACACACUGAACCCAUACUACAACGAGUCCUUCAGCUUUGAGAUCCCACAGGACCAGAUGCCGAAAAUACAAGCUGUGAUCACGGUGCUCGACUACGAUAAGAUCGGCAAGAACGACGCCAUCGGGAAGAUCUGGGUGGGCAGCAGAGCGCAGGGCACUGAGCUCCGGCACUGGUCCGACAUGCAGGCGAACCCACGCAGGCCCAUCGCUCAGUGGCAUCCACUCAAACCCGAGGAGGAGGUGGAUGCCACAUUAGCAGCCCUCACUGCCAAGAAGUAAUCCUGUUCUUCUUCCUUCCCUCCCUCUCUCCUUUCCCUCCCCCUUUCCUGUCUUUCACUUUUCAACAUGCACAACAUGUCAUCUUACCCAAUCAGCACUGAAUUACAGCCAUGAGCCACAAGACUAGAGGUAUUAAAGAAGACCAGCUCAAAUGAGACUCUUUCCACAGAUGUUCCUGAAGAAAGGCCGAGCUCAAAGGUGUGUAUAUCCUUGAGGUUUAUUCACAGAAGAGAUGUAAGCUCACAAAUAUCCAAAAGCAUUCCAAAGUUUUCCAUCGGGGACCAUGGAUAGAAAACACUGCCUCUUCCACUGCCUAAUUUAACACAUUCCUUCUAGAUUCUCUGGUCAUCUAGAUGAAAUCAGUUCUGUUACUUUUGUUGAGUCUGAAAGGACAGUGAAGAAUUAAUUAAAAAAUAAAAAAGUGGGAACUGGAGAGCUAGUUGGACUCGAUGCUCCUGCCCAGCCAGAAGGAAUCUUUCAGAUGUCGAUUACACUGCCUGCAAAACAACCUCUUCUUCCAUUCUUCAGUUCCAGCUGUCAGCUGGCUUCUUCCACUGCCCAACAUCCUAACAAACCCUGACAAAAAGGAGACAAGCCUUGAAACAUCAUGAAA